CGGGCACGCCCCUCCCGGAGGUAUCCAGGAAGGAGAGGCGGCCGCGGCGACGCGAGGAGGAGUUGUGGUGUGUUGGGGACGCUGCAGGCUUUUGGUGCCUCGUGAUUAAAGAGGAGAAUGAGAAGAUUUUUGAGGCCUGGACAUGAUACUGUACGAGAGAGGCUCAAGCGUGACCUUUUCCAAUUUAACAAGACUGUUGAACAUGGAUUUCCUCAUCAGCCAAGUGCCCUGGGCUACAGCGCUUCCCUCCGCCUCAUGGCUAUUGGAACCCGGGCAGGAGCCAUCAAA